rnacentral:rRNA from 1 species
AACGAACGCUGGCGGCAUGCCUAACACAUGCAAGUCGAACGAGACCUUCGGGUCUAGUGGCGCACGGGUGCGUAACGUGUGGGAAUCUGCCCUUGGGUUCGGAAUAACAGUUAGAAAUGACUGCUAAUACCGGAUGAUGUCCUCGAACCCAAGAUUCAUCGUCCAGGUGUGAGCCCGCGUAGUUUUAGCUUGUCGGUGGUGUAAAGGCCUACCAAGGCGUCGCUCCUUAGCUGGUCUGAGAGGAUGAUCAGCCACACUGGGACCGGGACACGGCCCAGACUCCUACGGGAGGCAGCAGUGGGGAAUAUUGGACAAUGGGCGAAGGCCUGAUCCAGCAAUGCCGCGUGAGUGAUGAAGUCCUUAGGGUUGUAAAGCUCUUUUACCCGGGAUGAUAAUGACAGUACCGGGAGAAUAAGCCCCGGCUAACUCCGUG